rnacentral:rRNA from 1 species
CGACCGGCGCACGGGUGAGUAACGCGUAUCCAACCUGCCUUACGCUCUUGGACAGCCUUCUGAAGGGAGAUUAAUACAAGAUGUUAUCAUGAGUAAGCAUUUUCACAUGAUUAAAGGUUUACCGGUGUAAGAUGGGGAUGCGUUCCAUUAGAUAGUAGGCGGGGUAACGGCCCACCUAGUCUUCGAUGGAUAGGGGUUCUGAGAGGAAGGUCCCCCACAUUGGAACUGAGACACGGUCCAA